rnacentral:sRNA from 1 species
AAAAUGAACAUAGUAAUAGAUUUUAUCCCGCGGUAUACCGCGGUGACAAUUUAACUUUUUAAAGUUAGUAUAAUU